rnacentral:lncRNA from 1 species
AGUCAUUUCAACCCCAGAUAAAUCCAACUGUGAAAGGUUUAGCAUUCCCCACGGAGCUCCUUUCUCCAGAGCAGCCUAGUGUGGCUCCUGGAGUAAUUAAUGCCAGAAUCUAUUUAUGACCUUUGAAUAAAUUGUUCUUUUCUGAAGGGAAAGCUGUUAAACACGUUAGCAAAUAUAAUUAAGAGGGAAGGGGGGGUGGUGGGGAUGACAAAAAUCUGGAAUUAAAUCUCUCCUAAUUAGAAAUGCUUCUUGCAACAACCUGGCUAAAACCCCACUCUCAAGCAGAUACUGUAGCUUCAUUAAAGCCUCCUCAUUACCCUUCCUGAGAUAACCCAGCUGCCAAUAGCAGGAAAAUUGACUUCUCACCUGUGUCACCUCUAAGAAAAUAAAAGCAGUUAGGUGUUGUCCUGGUGGGGAGAGCUUGGUGACGUGCACCUGAACACGCUGAGGGUGGAAAAUGCAGCCAGGGAGAAGCAAAAGGUGAAGUUCUCACCAGCAAGACACUGAUUGCAUCACACUCCAAGUGGCCAAAGCUGCAGGGAGUAGCAGCAAUUAAAGCAAUUAAACCCCUUGGAAGCGUCCUCUCUCCAUCAGUGUGAACAUCCCAGUCCCUGGAGAACCCAGAAGUGAUGGGUGAGGAAGGGUUAAAGCAAGGGGACAAAUCUGUGAUGCCACAGAGGAGCCUGCCCUGUGACCUGGAAACCCACUCAGGGAUGAUUCACAUCUGGCAGGAUCCCAGGUUAAGCUUUUAAUUAUUUCAGUAAGCCCUUCAAAAACUCCACUUUUCUGUAGAAAUAUUUGUGCUCAAGCAAUGCCCACUCCUAAACCCAGAGGGUUCCACAAACAGAAGCUGGGAGAUGUCAAUGCAUCCCUGGGAACAUCCACUCCCAGCACAGACCAGUCUGGACAGCUUGAAAACUUCAAAUAUUUCUAGGGGACACCCCUGUCUCCCCAGGAGCUGCCACCCAGCCGGUCCUGAAAGCAUCACCCCAGAGCUGGAAGCUGCCACAGCACCACAAUAAUGCCCUGUCCCCAAAAUCCUGAGCUCUGCCAUCAGCUGGGCUCUGCCCAGCCAGCAGAACAAAGCCAUUUCCACCCUGCAGAUGGAGCAUCCUCUGCCAGAGGGGCACCAAAGGGAGCCCCAGGGCCACUUCAGCCACCCAGGGCCAGUGGCUGAGCCCAGAGCCACACUGAAAUAGCCCCAGACCCUGCAGCAGCAGCAGGAAAGUAAAGAUAUAGAAGUUGAUCUAUAAAAGGGAAAAAAAAUAAAAAUCAUAA